rnacentral:rRNA from 1 species
UACGGGGGGGGUAAGCGUUGUUCGGAAUUACUGGGCGUAAAGGGUCUGUAGGUGGCUUGCUAAGUCAGACGUGAAAUCCCUCAGCUUAACUGGGGAACUGCGUCUGAGACUGGCGAGCUUGAGUGCAGGAGAGGAACGCGGAAUUCCAGGUGUAGCGGUGAAAUGCGUAGAUAUCUGGAGGAACACCGGUGGCGAAGGCGGCAUCCUGGACCAAUAUUGACGCUGAGGAGCGAAAGCUAGGGGAGCAAACGGG